rnacentral:rRNA from 1 species
CCUACGGGAGGCAGCAGUGAGGAAUAUUGGUCAAUGGGCGCUAGCCUGAACCAGCCAAGUAGCGUGAAGGAUGACUGCCCUAUGGGUUGUAAACUUCUUUUAUAUGGGAAUAAAGUGCAGUAUGUAUACUGCUUUGCAUGUACCUUAUGAAUAAGGAUCGGCUAACUCCGUGCCAGCAGCCGCGGUAAUACGGAGGAUUCGAGCGUUAUCCGGAUUUAUUGGGUUUAAAGGGAGCGUAGGCGGGUUGUUAAGUCAGUUGUGAAAGUUUGCGGCUCAACCGUAAAAUUGCAGUUGAUACUGGCAGCCUUGAGUACAGUAGAGGUAGGCGGAAUGCGUGGUGUAGCGGUGAAAUGCAUAGAUAUCACGAAGAACUCCGAUUGCGAAGGCAGCCUGCUGGACUGUAACUGACGCUGAUGCUCGAAAGUGUGGGUAUCAAACAGGAUUAGAUACCCGGGUAGUC